rnacentral:rRNA from 1 species
UAGGGAAUAUUGGUUAAUGUGCGAAAGCGCGAACCAGCAACGCCGCGUGUGCGAUGAAGGCCUUCGGGUCGUAAAGCACUUUUUGCAGGGACGAGGAAGGACGGUACCUGCAGAAUAAGUCUCGGCUAACUACGUGCCAGCAGCCGCGGUAAAACGUAGGAGACGAGCGUUAUCCGGAUUACUGGGCGUAAAGCGCGUGCAGGCGGCAUGGCAAGUUGGAUGUGAAAGCUCCCGGCUUAACUGGGAGAGGUCGUUCAAUACUGCCAGGCUUGAGAGUGGUAGAGGGAAGCGGAAUUCCGGGUGUAGUGGUGAAAUGCGUAGAUAUCCGGAGGAACACCAGUGGCGAAAGCGGCUUCCUGGCCCAUCUCUGACGCUCAGACGCGAAAGCUAGGGUAGCAAACGG